rnacentral:lncRNA from 1 species
CUGUAUAGUGCUUUUGGUAGUAUGGUCAUUUUGAUAAUAUUAAUUCUGCCUAUUCAAGAACAAAGUAGAUUUUUCCAUCUUCUAAGGUCUUCUUUGAUUUCUUUCAUUAAGGUUCUGUAGUUUUCAUUGUAUAGAUCUUUCACCUCUUUUGUUAAGUUGAUUCCCAAGUAUCUUUUUUUUUUUGAGGUUAUUGUGAGUGGGGUAGUUUUCCUCAUUUCCUUCUCAGAGGCUUUGUCACUGUUACAUAGAAAUGCCUUUGAUUUAUGGAUGUUGAUUUUAUAUCCUGCUACUUUCCUGAAUUGAUUUACUGGUUCUAGAAGUUUUCUGGUGGAGCUUCUUGGGACUUCUAGGUAUAGAAUCAUAUUGUCAGCAAAUAAUGAUAAUUUAAGUUCUUCUUUUCCUAUACAUAUCCCUUUGAUGUCUUUCAUCUGAAUAAUUGCUCUGGCCAGUGUUUCAAGAACUAUGUUGAAUAGAAGUGGUGAAAGAGGGCAUCCCUGACUUGUUCCAGUUUUUAGAGGAAAUGCCUUCAAUUUUUCUCUGUUUAGAAUGAUGUUGGCCUGAGGCUUAUCAUAGAUAGCCUUUACGAUGUUAAGAUAUGUUCCUGUUAUCCCUAGUUUCUCUAGAGUUUUGAACAUAAAGGGGUGUGGUAUUUUGUCAAAUGCUUUUUCUGCAUCUAUUGAGAUGAUCAUAUAAUUCUUAUCUUUAAGUCUAUUGAUGUGUGAGGAAUUACAUUUAUUGAUUUCCAUAUGGUGAACCAAUCUUGCAUCCCUGGGAUGAAUCCCACUUCAUCAUGGUGCACAAUCUUUUUGAUAUGUUUUUGUACUCGACUUGCCAGCAUUUUAUUGAGAAUUUCUGCAUCUAUGUUCAUUAGAGAUAUUGGUCUGAAGUUUUCUUUCUUUGAUGUGUCUUUGUCUGGUUUUGAAAUCGGGGUGAUAUUGGCUUCAUAGAAUGAGUUUGGAAGUGGUCCCUGUUUUUCUGUUUCCUGAAAUAAAUUGAAGAGUAUUGGUAUUAUUCUUCUUUAAAAGUCUUGUAGAACUUGGCUGUGUAUCCAUCCAAUCCUG